rnacentral:tRNA from 2 species
CAGGACGUAGCUAAGAAGAAUAGCAUCUCCCUUACACUGAGAAGUCACCUGUGCAAGCCAGGUCGCCCUGA